AGUGAACGCUGGCGGUAGGCCUAACACAUGCAAGUCGAACGGCAGCACAGUAAGAGCUUGCUCUUACGGGUGGCGAGUGGCGUACGGGUGAGGUAUACAUCGGAAUCUACUUUUUCGUGGGGGAUAACGUAGGGAAACUUACGCUAAUACCGCAUACGACCUACGGGGGAAAGCAGGGGAUCUUCGGACUUUGCGCGAUUGAAUGAGCCGAUGUCGGAUUAGCUAGUUGGCGGGGUAAAGGCGCACCAAGGCGACGAUCCGUAGCUGGUCUGAGAGGAUGAUCAGCCACACUGGAACUGAGACACGGUCCAGACUCCUACGGGCGGCAGCAGUGCGGAAUAUUGGACGAUGGGCGCAAGCCUGAUCCAGCCAUACCGCGUGGGUGAAGAAGGCCUUCGGGUUGUAAAGCCCUUUUGUUGGGAAAGAAAAGCAGCAGGUUAAUACCCCGCUGUUCUGACGGUACCCAAAGAAUAAGCACCGGCUAACUUCGUG
rnacentral:rRNA from 1 species